rnacentral:rRNA from 1 species
CUUAGUGGCGGACGGGUGAGUAACGCGUGGGUAACCUGCCUUAUACAGGGGGAUAACAGUUAGAAAUGACUGCUAAUACCGCAUAAGCGCACAGUCUCGCAUGGGACAGUGUGAAAAACUAAGGUGGUAUAAGAUGGACCCGCGUCUGAUUAGCUAGUUGGUGGGGUAAAGGCCUACCAAGGCGACGAUCAGUAGCCGACCUGAGAGGGUGAUCGGCCACAUUGGGACUGAGACACGGCCCAA